GGGAUCCCAGGACAGGGGCAGCAGAGACCAGAGAGGAAGGUAAAUGGAGCAUGGUGGCUGCCUCAAGAGCUGGUUCAACACAUGGAACAAUUCCACCUUCCUGCUGAUUCCCUUACUGAUGAAGACGAUUCCUGCACACAGUGAAGUCCACUGGGCCUAUGUUCCUGACCUACCACUGAUACACUUCUUGGAUCUCCCUGGGCAAGGGAGUCAACUCAUAAUAAGACCAUGACUUUCAAUGCA
rnacentral:lncRNA from 1 species